GGCUGGGAUGUUGCCGAAUACAAAACCCGCAAGGGAAAUCAGGCAAGCCGAAGUAUGACGGUUCUGAACAUCCCGGCCGCCCUCAG
rnacentral:ncRNA from 1 species